ACUUAUUAAAUAAGUAAGAGUGAGUGGUGAAUGCCUUGGGUCUGGAAGUCGAAGAAGGACGUGAUUACCUGCGAUAAGCAUUGUGGAGCUGGAUAUACGCUAUGAAACAAUGAUUUCCGAAUGGGGAAACCCAGCUAGAUUAAUCUCUAGUUACUACCAACUGAAUACAUAGGUUGGUCAGAGAUACACGCUGUGAACUGAAACAUCUUAGUAGCAGCAGGAAAAGAAAAUAAAUAAUGAUUCCGUAAGUAGCGGCGAGCGAACGCGGAGGAGGCCAAACCGACUUUUAGUCGGGGUUGUAGGACAGUUUUUAUGAGUUACAAAACUUAUGCAUAGAAGAAUUACCUGGAAAGGUAAGCCAUAGAGGGUGAUAGCCCCGUAAUCGAAAUGCAUGAGACUCUUAACUGUAUCCUGAGUAGGGCGGGGCACGUGAAACCCUGUCUGAAUCCGCCGGGACCACCCGGUAAGCCUAAAUACUAACCAGACACCGAUAGUGAACAAGUACCGUGAGGGAAAGGUGAAAAGAACCCCGAGAGGGGAGUGAAAUAGAUUCUGAAACCGCUUACUUACAAGUAGUCAGAGCCCGUUAAUGGGUGAUGGCGUACAUUUUGCAGUAUGGUCCGGCGAGUUAUGUUUGCGUGCAAGGUUAAGUGGAAAAAAGCGGAGCCGUAGAGAAAUCGAGUCUUAAUAGGGCGACUAGUACGUAGACAUAGACCCGAAACCAGGUGAUCUAUCCAUGAGCAGGGUGAACGUUAGGUAAAACUAACCGGAGGCCCGAACCGGGGUACGCUAAAAAGUGCUCGGAUGACUUGUGGAUAGCGGUGAAAUUCCAAUCGAACCUGGAUAUAGCUGGUUCUCUUCGAAAUAGCUUUACGGCUAGCGUUGUGUGUUAAGUAGUGGAGGUAGAGCACUGAAUGUGGAAUGGCCGCGCCUAGCGGUACUGACUACAAUUAAACUCCGAAUGCCAUUAUGUAUUACACAGCAGUCAGAACAUGGGUGAUAACGUCCAUGCUCGCGAGGGAAACAACCCAGAUCGUCAGCUAAGGUCCCUAAAUUGUGUUAAGUGAGAAAGGUUGUGGGGUUUCACAAACAGCUAGUAUGUUGGCUUAGAAGCAGCCAUCAUUUAAAGAGUGCGUAACAGCUCACUAGUCGAGAGACCCUGCGCCAAUAAUGUAACGGGACUAAACACAAUACCGAAGCUACGGACUUCCAUUUAUGGGAGUGGUAGGAGAGCGUUCUUGUCAGCACUGAAGCCAGACCGUGAGGACUGGUGGAGCGGCAAGAAGUGAGAAUGCCGGAAUGAGUAACGAUUGAAGGUGAGAAUCCUUCACGCCUAUUGGGGAAGGUUUCCUGGGCAAGGUUCGUCCACCCAGGGUUAGUCGGGACCUAAGGCGAGGCCGAAAGGCGUAGUCGAUGGACAACAGGUUGAUAUUCCUGUACUUCCGCUAGAGUGAUGGAGUGACGGAGAAGGAUAAUACUACCACUUAAUGGAUUGUGGGGUAAAUAGUAAGAUGGUCAAGUAGGCAAAUCCGCUUGGCUUAACAUUGAGCUAUGACGCAUAGGGAAAGCUUCGGCGAUUACCGAAUUGUAUGAUUUCAUGCUUCCAAGAAAAGCUUCUAACAUUAAUCUAGUUGGAACCCGUACCGAGAACGGACACACGUCCCCAAGAUGAGUAUUCUAAGGCGAGCGAGAUAACCAUUGUUAAGGAACUCUGCAAAAUGACCCCGUACGUUCGCAAGAAGGGGUGCUCAACUCUGUUGAGCCGCAGUGAAAAGUGAGGGGCGACUGUUUAUCAAAAACACAGCUUUGUGCUAAAUCGCAAGAUGAAGUAUACGAGGUGACGCCUGCCCAGUGUCCGAAGGUUAAGUUGAAGUGUUAGCAUUAGCGAAGCUCUGAUAUGAAGCCCGGAUGAACGGCGGCCGUAACUAUAACGGUCCUAAGGUAGCGAAAUUCCUUGUCGGCUAAUUACCGACCUGCACGAAAGGCGUAACGAUCUCUCAGCUGUCUCAACAAUGGACUCGGUGAAAUUAUGGUACCAGUGAAAACGCUGGUUACCCGCAUCAAGACGAAAAGACCCCGUGGAGCUUUACUACAGGUUCGUAUUGUUAUUUGGCUAAACAUGUGUAGGAUAGGUGGGAGACUUUGAAGCUAUAACGCUAGUUAUAGUGGAGUCAUCCUUGAAAUACCACCCUUGUUUAGUUGACUAACUAACUUGCCACCAUUAUCUGGUGGGAGGACAGUGCGUGCUGGGUAGUUUGACUGGGGCGGUCGCCUCCUAAAAUGUAGCGGAGGCGCUCAAAGGUACCCUCAGUACGGUCAGAAACCGUACGCAGAGCGCAAAGGUAAAAGGGUGCUUGACUGUGAGACCUACAAGUCGAGCAGGUGCGAAAGCAGGACUUAGUGAUCCGGCGGUUCCUUGUGGAAGGGCCGUCGCUCAACGGAUAAAAGCUACCCCGGGGAUAACAGGCUUAUCUUCCCCAAGAGAUCACAUCGACGGGAAGGUUUGGCACCUCGAUGUCGGCUCAUCGCAUCCUGGAGCUGGAGUCGGUUCCAAGGGUUGGGCUGUUCGCCCAUUAAAGCGGUACGCGAGCUGGGUUCAGAACGUCGUGAGACAGUUCGGUCCCUAUCUGAUGUGGGCGUUGGAUUAUUGAUGAGAGCUGCUCUUAGUACGAGAGGACCGGAGUGGACAUACCACUGGUGUUCCAGUUGUCCCGCCAGGGGCAUAGCUGGGUAGCCAAGUAUGGAAAGGAUAACCGCUGAAAGCAUCUAAGCGGGAAGCCUCCUCAGAGAUGAAUAAUCCCUUGAAAUUCCUUGUAGACGACGAGGUUGAUAGGCUGGAAGUGUACGUGUAGCGAUACAUUUAGCUGACCAGUACUAAUAAAUUGAACGGUUUAAUAAG
rnacentral:rRNA from 1 species